rnacentral:misc_RNA from 1 species
AUAGAGUAUGCUUAUUAAAAGUAUAUUUCCUGUUCGUUCUGCAUUACCAUUUUAAUUUCAGUCCUGUAGCUCAGUUGGUUAGAG